AAGACGACGAGGUAGAUAGGUCAGAGGUGGAAGUGUGGUAACACAUGUAGCUGACUGAUACUAAUAGGUCGAAGUCAUGACCAA
rnacentral:rRNA from 1 species